CAAUAGCGUAUAUUAAAGUUGUUGCAGUUAAAAAGCUCGUAGUUGGAUUUGUGGCUGUCACGGGCGGCCUAUCACUUAGUGUUAGUGCUUGCCUGUGUCGCCAUCCUUGGGUGGAGCCCGUGUGGCAUUAGGUUGUCGUGCAGGGGAUGCCCAUCGUUUACUGUGAGAAAAUUAGAGUGUUCAAAGCAGGCUUAUGCCGUUGAAUAUGUUAGCAUGGAAUAAUAAGAUAGGACCUCGGUACUAUUUUGUUGGUUUGCGCACCGAGGUAAUGAUUAAUAGGGACAGUUGGGGGUAUUCGUAUUUCAUUGUCAGAGGUGAAAUUCUUGGAUUUCUGAAAGACGAACUACUGCGAAAGCAUUUACCAAGGAUGUUUUCAUUAA
rnacentral:rRNA from 1 species